GGUGAACGCUGGCGGCGUGCCUAAGACAUGCAAGUCGAGCGGGCCGCGGGGUUUUACUCCGUGGUCAGCGGCGGCCGGGUGAGUAACGCGUGGGUGACCUACCCGGCAUAGGGGGACAACCCGUGGAAACUCGUGCUAAUCCCCCAUGUGGACCCGCCCCUUUGGGUGUGUCCAAAUGGCUUUGCCCGCUUCCGGAUGGGCCCGCGUCCCAUCAGCUAGUUGGUGGGGUAAUGGCCCACCACGGCGACGACGGGUAGCCGGCCUGAGGGGGUGGCCGGCCACAGGGGCACUGAGACACGGGCCCCACGCCUACGGGAGGCAGGAGUUAGGAAGCUUCCGCAAUGGGCGCAAGCCUGAUGGAGCGACGCCGCUGGGAGGAAGAAGCCCUGCGGGGUGUAAACUCCUGAACCCGGGACGAAACCCCCGACGAGGGGACUGACGGUACCGGGGUAAUAGCGCCGGCCAACUCCGUG
rnacentral:rRNA from 1 species